rnacentral:rRNA from 1 species
CAAUAGCGUAUAUUUAAGUUGCUGCAGUUAAAAAGCUCGUAGUUGGAUUUCGGGUGGGAAUGGCCGGUCCGCCGUUUCGGUGUGCACUUGCUACGCCCACCUUGCUGCCGGGGACGUGCUCUUGAGUUCACGCUCGGGACACGGAGUCGGCGAGGUUACUUUGAGUAAAUUAGAGUGUUCAAAGCAGGCCUACGCUCUGAAUACAUUAGCAUGGAAUAACACGAUAGGACUCUGGCCUAUCUUGUUGGUCUGUAGGACCGGAGUAAUGAUUAAGUGGGACAGUCGGGGGCAUUCGUAUUUCAUUGUCAGAGGUGGAAUUCUUGGAUUUAUGAAAGACGAACUACUGCGAAAGCAUUUGCCAAGGAUGUUUUCAUUAA